GCCAACGUCCAUACCAUGUUGAAUACACCGGUUCUCG
rnacentral:rRNA from 1 species